rnacentral:rRNA from 1 species
AUUGAGCGCUGGCGGCAUGCUUUACACAUGCAAGUCGAACGGUAACGCGGGGCAACCCUGGCGGCGAGCGGCGAACGGGUGAGUAAUGCAUCGGAACAUGUCCAUGUCGUGGGGGAUAGCCCGGCGAAAGCCGGAUUAAUACCGCAUAAGCCCGAGAGGGGAAAGCCGGGACCGCAAGGCCUGGCGCGAUUGGGUUGGCCGAUGUCCGAUUAGCUAGUUGGCGGGUAAGAG